CCCCGCGGGCCGACGGCGGCCGGCCGACGCCGAGACGCCCCUCGGGUGGCUUUAGCGUCCUGUUGCGCCACGGCCGCCCCGCCGAUCAGGUUCCUUCGGGAGACUUCGACUUGUUCGAGACCUGAUGGCCAAAAGAAAGGAAGGAAAUUUCUUCUCUCCUGGAAAUGCCAAAAGACCAAGACAAGAAGAGCUGGAUGAUUUUGAUAAAGAUGGUGACGAAGAUGAAUGUACAGUUUCUUUCACUAAUGGUACCUCUGCUUUGACAGCAGCAGAAGUUGGAAUCAUUGAGAGUAUUCAGCUCAGAAACUUCAUGUGUCAUUCGAUGCUUGGACCCUUUAAAUUUGGUUCUAAUGUCAACUUUGUUGUUGGCAAUAAUGGAAGUGGGAAGAGUGCAGUACUCACAGCUCUUAUAGUUGGUCUUGGUGGAAAAGCAGUUGCUACUAACCGAGGAUCUUCUUUGAAAGGUUUUGUGAAAGACGGACAGAACUCAGCAGAUAUCUCAAUAACAUUAAGGAACAGAGGGGAUGAUGCCUAUAGAGCCAAUGUGUACGGUGACUCUAUAAUUGUGCAACAGCACAUCAGCAUGGAUGGAAGUCGAUCUUAUAAACUGAAAAGUGAAACAGGCGCCUUGGUUUCCACUAGGAAAGAAGAACUGAUUGGAAUUCUUGAUCAUUUUAACAUACAGGUAGAUAAUCCAGUUUCUGUCUUAACGCAAGAGAUGAGCAAGCAGUUCUUGCAGUCUAAAAAUGAGGGAGACAAAUACAAAUUCUUUAUGAAAGCAACCCAACUGGAACAAAUGAAGGAGGAUUAUUCAUACAUCAUGGAAACCAAAGAAAGAACAAAGGAGCAGAUAAAUCAAGGAGAAGAGCGACUUACUGAACUAAAGCGCCAGUGUUUGGAGAAAGAAGAACGUUUUCAGAGUAUUGCUGGCUUAAGUACAAUGAAGACCAAUCUGGAAUACUUGAAACAUGAAAUGGCUUGGGCAGUGGUCAAUGAAAUUGAAAAACAACUGAAUGCUAUCAGAGACAACAUCAAAAUUGGAGAAGAUCGUGCUGCUAGACUUGAGAGGAAAACGGAAGAACAGCAGGUCAGACUUAAUGAAGCAGAAAAAAAGUACAAGGAUAUUCAAGAUAAACUAGAAAAGAUUAGUCAAGAGACAAAUGCACGAGCACCAGAAUGUAUGGCAUUGAAAGCAGAUCUGACUUCCAAGAAGAGGGCCUAUAAUGAAGCUGAGGUUUUAUACAACCAUUCCCUAAACGAGUAUAGAGCAUUAAAGAAAGAUGAUGAGCAACUUUGUAAAAGAAUUGAAGAACUGAGAAAAAGUGCUGAUCAGUCUUUGGAACCUGAACGGUUGGAAAGGCAAAAAAAAAUAUCUUCGUUAAAAGAAAGAGUAAAGGUCUUACAGGAUCAAGAAAGUUCAGUCAAUCAAGAGAUCGAACAAUUUCAGCAAGCCGUAGAAAAGGACAAAGAAGAACAUACCAGAAUUAAGAGAGAAGAGUUAGAUGUGAAGAAUACACUGAACUAUAAUCAGAGGCAACUGAAAGAAUUGAAAGACAGUAAAACUGAUCGACUGAAAAGAUUUGGCCCUCAUGUUCCAGCUCUUCUGGAAGCCAUAGAUGAUGCUUACAGACGGAGGCAUUUUACCCGUAAACCUGUAGGCCCUUUAGGAGCUUGCAUUCAUCUUCGGGACACUGAGCUUGCUUUGGCCAUUGAAUCUUGCUUGAAAGGACUUCUGCAAGCCUAUUGUUGCCAUAAUCAUGCUGAUGAAAGAGUGCUUCAGGCACUGAUGAAAAGGUUUUACUCACCAGGGACAUCACGGCCACAGAUAAUAGUUUCUGAGUUUCGGAAUGAGGUGUAUGAUGUAAGACACAGAGCUGCUUAUCAUCCAGAGUUCCCAACAGUUCUGACAGCUUUAGAAAUAGAUAAUGCAGUUGUCACAAAUAGCCUAAUUGACAUGAGAAGCAUAGAGACAGUGCUGCUGAUCAAAAAUAAUUCUGUAGCUCGUGCAGUAAUGCAGUCCCAAAACCCACCCAAGAAUUGUAGAGAAGCUUUUACUGCUGAUGGUGAUCAAGUUUUUGCAGGGCGUUAUUAUUCAUCUGAAUAUACAAGACCUAAGUUUCUCAGCAGAGAUGUGGAUUCUGAAAUAAGUGACUUGGAGAAUGAGGUUGAAAAUAAGAAAGCCCAGAUAUCAAAUCUUCAGCAACAUUUGUCUGCCCUUGAAAAGGAUAUUAAACACAAUGAAGAACUUCUUAGAAGGCGCCAACUGCAUUAUAAAGAGUUAAAGAUGAAAAUAAGAAGAAGUAUUUCUGAAAUUCGGGAACUUGAGAAUAUAGAAGAACACCAGUCUGUAGAUAUUGCAACCUUGGAAGAUGAAGCUCAAGAAAAUAAAAUCAAAAUGAAAAUGGUUGAGAAAAACAUGGAACAACAAAAAGAGAAUAUGGAACAUUUUAAAAGUCUGAAAAUAGAAGCGGAAAACAAGUAUGAUGCAAUUAAACAGAAAAUUAAUCAGCUAUCAGAGCUAGCAGAUCCACUUAAGGAUGAAUUAAACCUUGCUGAUUCUGAAGUGGAUAACCAAAAACGAGGGAAACGGCAUUAUGAAGACAAGCAAAAAGAACACUUGGAUACUUUAAAUAAAAAGAAACGAGAAUUAGAUAUGAAAGAAAAAGAACUAGAGGAGAAAAUGUCACAAGCAAGACAAAUCUGCCCAGAGCGGAUAGAAGUAAAAAAAUCUGCAUCAAUUCUAGACAAAGAAAUUAAUAGAUUAAGACAAAAGAUACAGGCAGAACAUGCUAGUCAUGGAGAUCGAGAGGAAAUAAUGAGGCAAUAUCAAGAAGCAAGAGAAACCUAUCUUGAUCUGGAUAACAAAGUAAGGACUUUAAAAAGGUUUAUUAAAUUACUGGAAGAAAUAAUGACCCAUAGAUAUAAAACGUAUCAACAAUUUAGAAGGUGUUUGACUUUACGAUGCAAAUUGUACUUUGACAACUUACUAUCUCAGCGGGCCUAUUGUGGAAAAAUGAAUUUUGACCACAAGAAUGAAACUCUUACUAUAUCUGUUCAGCCUGGAGAGGGAAACAAAGCCGCUUUCAAUGACAUGAGGGCCUUAUCUGGCGGUGAACGUUCUUUUUCCACAGUUUGCUUCAUUCUUUCUCUGUGGUCCAUUGCUGAAUCUCCUUUCAGAUGCCUGGAUGAGUUUGAUGUCUACAUGGAUAUGGUUAACCGGAGAAUUGCGAUGGAUAUGAUACUCAAGAUGGCAGAUUCCCAGCGCUUCAGACAGUUCAUCCUGCUUACCCCUCAAAGCAUGAGAAUGGGAAGUGGAAUCCUCAGGUAUCCAGGCAUCUCUUGUUGAGUUGAAGAUUAUUCAUUGCUUUGGCCUCACAAAGUUUGGGUUUCAACUAUCCCUUGUAAAAACAUGUGCUCGUUGCUGUGCCUACAUCAGUUUCCAGCUGGAGCCUAGUAUGCCUCAGGGUGCACGCACCACGUCUUACCUAGUCCUCUAGUCAUGAGCCACUAGGUUGCCUCCAGCCCCCACUCCAGAAACAGAGCUGUCACGGACAUCCUGGGACAAGUCCCCAUACAUCCUCCUGUGAGAGCUUCUUGGGGCAACAAACCCAGGAGUGGAAAUGCUGGGUCAGAGGACAUAUGUACACUUACUCUAACCAAUACUGCUGGACUGCUGUCAGGACCCUGCCCCAGUCGACACUAGCGGAGCAGAGAGAACUAAAACAAGCACAAAACGUUUGUUUGCUGGCCCAAUUUCUACAUUUUAUUUACUUAUUUACCAGUGAGUCUGCUGAAGGGUUUGUUUUCCAUAAGCGCCCCAAGUACCCAUGUGGCUCAUUUCCUUCACUUGGGUCUUCCAUUAGUGUCACCUAAACAGCCUAUAGGAAGUGGCCACUGCUGCAUCCCAUCACUCUCCCUCCUUCUUUAUUUGCUAUGCUUUUCUUCAUAGUUCUUACAGUUAGACAUUUGUGUGUGUGUGUGUGUGUGUGUGUGUGUGUUUAUUGUUUAUUGUCUGUCUCCUCCCAUACGAAUAGUGUUGGGUGCACAGAGGGUGAUCAGUGAAAAUUUGCUAUGAAUUCAUCGCCUGUAGCUUGACUUAACCAAGUGCCUUUCCAAGGAAUCUCCCCAGCUCCUCAACCCACCCCGCCCUCAGCCAGAGGAGAGCACAUUGGGAGGCACAGAACGUCUCUCCCUGCCUCUACUUUGGACUCACCAAGCACAGGGGUUAAUGGCACCAGGACAUCCUAUUAGCACUUGGGACUGUUCUCUCUGGGGACGGAAGUUUGUUUCUGUUGGGGUUUCGGGUACUGUCGUUGCCCUGAAUGUUUGUGGGGAGGUUUGCUGGCUCCCAGUUUCUUGCUGAAUGGAUGAAUGGAAUCAUCAGGCCCUGGUCUGUGGUCUCAUCUAAUGCUCCUAAGACAGACAAAGGAGGAGUAUUUAGAAAAAAAGGCGCUCCAUAAAAAGAGUAAUUUAGCACUGUACUGUCUGAUACAAUAACUACUGGCUACACGUGGCAAAUUAAAUUUAAAUUAAGAUAAAAUGAAAAAUGCAGUCCCUCAGUCACACUAGCUGAACUGGAAGUGCUCAAAGUUCACAUGUAGCCAGUGUAGGUACAGAUGUUUCCAUCAUCCUAGAAAGUUCUACUGGACAGCACUGUAGAAAGAAACGGUCUCAUUCAGGCUUGUUCUGAAAACGCAGGCCCGCCUUUAGACUUCCUGAUGGAAUCUCUCUGCCUUCCUUCCUCCAGCUUAAAAGGGUCAGGAUUUUGUUCCACCGUUAAAACAACGAGUACACUUUUGAUUUGGAAAGACAGCCUUUUGGAGGACGCUUCUCAGUCAGCUAAAUGUGUCCUCCACGUAGUUGUGUCAAACAUAGCGCGUGGUAAGCACCACAGUCACACUGAGAAAACGUAUACUGUCAUAUAGUGAGCAUUUUUUGAGAAUAAGUUUUAUGUUUUAUUUAAACUUUACACGCCGUAUUAACUGUCCCUCUUUUGAGGGCCAGGAUGAAGCAUUGGGAAGUUGCUAAGUCUUUGAAUUCCCAAGUUGUGUGUUCAAAGGUAAAUUUAGUAAGUUGUUGCUAUUGACCCUUGACAAUUAUGAACAUCUGUUUC